rnacentral:tRNA from 1 species
GGGGCUAUAGCUCAGUGGUAGAGCACAUGCCUUGCCUGCAUGAGGCUCAGGGUUCCAUCCCUACAAUCACC